CAUUCCGCGACAGACGUGGUCGGCGUCUUCCCUGGGGGCGACGCUCCUUUUCCUCAGGGAGGAGCGGGCGGCGCCAUGGCGGCUUCGGGACCGCGUGGCCCUCGUUCCUGCAGGAGGAGGACGCUCCUCGCUCGCUGUCUGAGAUCCAAGUCACUUUCUGACACUGAGAGUAAACAAGGGGAAACGCCUUAUAGCCAUUUGAAUAUGUUCAGCCAUGAAGUGAAACAGACUCACUGAAUUCUGAGUCCUGAGAGACAGUGACCCAGACACAGCCCUACCAUGAUUGCCUGACUUACCGACUUCCUUAUUGACUUGAACGGAAGUCCUGAAGAUCGAACCCUGGACCUCGCGCGUGCUGGGCAGGCACUCUGCCGCUGAGUUCUACGCUCCAUCCUCCCCCUCGCCCCCUCCCCCAUUUGGGGGAGGAAAAAAAUAAAUUUUUCUUUUCUUUUAAACUGAAAACGUCCGUUUGGAUCUCCUGCGUGUGUUUCAUCCCUGGUUUUCUGGCUUCUAGGAGGUGGAGUUGACCGAGUUCUUGGACUGUUGAGGAGAGGAACCCCUGAUGGGCUGCGGUUGUGCUUUUUCUACGAUUUUGGGCGUCUUUGUCUUUCGAAGAGGGCGGUGUUCUGUCGGAGUUCCGCAGGUGGUCUGAUUGGCCGAGUGGGUCCGUCGAUGUGAGUUUUGGUGUAUUUGUGGGAGAGGGUGAGCUACGAGCGUCCUUCUACUCCGCCGUCUUGCUUCUUCUCGGGUUAUUUUUGAAGAGUAGGUGCUGGGGAUUGAACCCUGGACCUUUAUUUUUUGCAUGCUAAGCAUGGGCUGUACUGCCUGAUCUCUAGACCCUCCCCACCGCAACCCCCCCUUUCCCACCGCCUCCAUAGUACUCGAUGAAUCUCCUACCUAGAUAUCUAUGCUUCCUUGGAAUAGGGCCGUCGUUUUCUUCAUCGGAUUGAUGCACGUCUGUGGAUUCGUCUCGUUUCUCUCCACUGCGGAACCCUCGUCCCGAGGGACUGAAUCUAGUGCCCUGUGCUGCGCGGUACGACCUAGGGGUCGAAUCUGCCAGGAGAGGACUUACAAGGAUUUGGAGGAUCCUGGAAAACUGCUACCAUCCAGAAUCCUACAUGGAUGUUCAAGAUCUUGUGGAUGGACGGACGGACGGACGGAAGACGGAUCGAAUGGAGGCCCCGCCCCAUCCCCUGGACCCCUAGGCCCAGGAGGAUCGUGAUGGGUCUGGAAAGGACUCUUCCGACGAGGGUCUCGGGAUGGACUUUCUCGGUCCGCGGAAGGUGUUUCUGCACAAAGAGGAAGAGAGGGGCGUUCUCGGCCAGAGAGCCCGAACCGCCUCCUUUCAGGGAUCCGCUCCAGUCAGGGUUGGGGUCGGGGUCAGAACGCAGCCACCGACAGCUCCCCUCCCUCGUCUUGGCUCUCCAACUUGGGAAACCCCUCCUCCCUGCCCCCUCACCCAUCUUCUCGUCAGCCGGCCUCCAGCUUCCCCGUGCCAACCCACCUCUCUCAUGCUGCCGGACUUUCCUCCUCCUUGGGCUGCCAGGAAGCUCUCCCGCUCCUCCACGUGCUUUGGCUUGGAAUCCCUGACAAACACAAGCGGUGCUGGUGGGCGGGGCCGCGGGCCGUGGCAGAAGGACUCCCUUCAUCUUAUGGGAGCGAUUUUUAUCUCCAUAGAGGUGGCGAUUGAGAAAACACAUAAAAUCACUCAGAAGAAUACCCAUGUGUAGUGUCCCUGACCUAGAUCCGUGUCUGUCUGUCUGUCUGUCUGUCUCUCUCUCUCUCUCUGCCUCUCUCUCCAUUUCGCUAUUCUGUGUGUGUGUGUGUGUGUGCGUGCGCGCUGCGCGCGCAUGCGUGUCUGUCUGUCUCCCUUGUCUCUCUUUCCUCUCCUCUCCCCUCCUCUCCUCUUCCCUGUUCUCCCCCCUUCCCCCUCACCCCUCCACUCCUCUCUUCUCCCCUCCACUCCUCUCCUCUCCCUCUUCUCCUCUCCCCUCGCCUCUUCUCAUUUCCCCUCCCCUCCCCUCUUUUCCCUCCUCUCCUUUCCUGUCCUCUCCCCUUUUAUCCCUCCUCUCCUCUGCUCUCUCUCUCUCUCUCUCUCUCUCUCUCUCUCUCUCUCUCUCUCCCCCCUUCACUUCCCUCCCUCCUCCCUACCCCCCAACCCCUACCUUCACAGGGCCUCAUAGAUUGCAAUCGGUUUCCAUGAAAUGUGAUGAAGAGGGAAUGAAUUUUAGAAUGAUAUCCCCAUGCCAUUGAAUCCUUCUUCCCCAGGGAUAGCGACUUAUUUGUGGUCGUGUUUGUUUUUGUUUUUCUUGUUGUUGUUUUGGGGCGCAUCGAGGGCGCAGGAGGCGUUGGGAGUGAGGGUGAUGUUUCUCUUUCUGUCUGUCUCCUCCUUAGGAAGGAUUUUAAGAGGAGGGAGGACCCACAGAAAUCUACCAUCUUGUCUCGUACUGCAGCUGUGUUUGAGCUUCCUAUACGAUCUGGGCGGAACACUCCCCACCCUCACCUCAAGCCGCCAUUGCCGCCCCCCUCAGCCCCCCUGCACCCCCGUCCAGUCCCACACUUGGGGCGGUGGUUGGGCAUAGGGGGAUGUUGGCGGGGUGGUGGUUGGUGGGGGGUGGGGUGGUGGAGGAAACCAGAAAACAGACCACUGUGGCACGUGGGUGACUGGGGCUUCAGGGUGAAGGAGGAUGAAUAAAAUGGCCGGAAUUAGGCUAA